GACGAACGCUGGCGGCGUGCUUAACACAUGCAAGUCGAACGGAAAGGCCCUGCUUUUGUGGGGUGCUCGAGUGGCGAACGGGUGAGUAACACGUGAGUAACCUGCCCUUGACUUUGGGAUAACUUCAGGAAACUGGGGCUAAUACCGGAUAGGAGCUCCUGCUGCAUGGUAGGGGUUGGAAAGUUUCGGCGGUUGGGGAUGGACUCGCGGCUUAUCAGCUUGUUGGUGGGGUAGUGGCUUACCAAGGCUUUGACGGGUAGCCGGCCUGUGAGGGUGACCGGCCACAUUGGGACUGAGGGACGGCGCAGACUCCUACGGGAGGCAGCAGUGGGGAAUAUUGCACAAUGGGCGGAAGCCGGAUGCAGCAACGCCGCGUGCGGGAUGACGGCCUUCGGGUUGUAAACCGCUUUCGCCUGUGACGAAGCGGGAGUGACGGUAAUGGGUAAAGAAGCACCGGCUAACUACGUG
rnacentral:rRNA from 1 species